rnacentral:tRNA from 1 species
GCAGGGGUAGCCAAGCCUGGAAACGGCGCUGGACUCAAGAUCCAGUCUCGAAGGAGACCUGAAGGCGAUCGUCCUUUAAGCCUAAAUCCGUGGGUUCAAAUCCCACCCCCUGCA